rnacentral:ncRNA from 1 species
UUGGGGCGUGAUUCACGUCCUGAACGAAGAGGGAAACAGGUGCAAAUCCUGUACAGACCCGCUGCUGUGAGUUCCGUUUUCCCUAUCGGGAAAAGACUCAUCGCCCAAAUCUGACCACUGGCAAAUGCCGAACGUUGUGUGCAAGUACAAAGCACAAACGGGUAGGCAAGUCGGGAAGGUGGACGAGGUGAGGAACAAGUCAGAAGACCUGCCGAAUGCUG